rnacentral:lncRNA from 10 species
GAUGGGAGCAGCUGGCGGUAGGGCUGGGAGCUGGCCCCUGCCUCUGCUUCCUGGAAGCACUGCAAGAGUGCCUGCAGUUAUAGCCGGGAGAUGACCACAGUGAGAAGCCAGAGAAGAGGUAAACAGCAACCUUGGGCAAGCAGGAAGGCAGAAGCAGAUGCUUGGAACCACCCAGAGGUUUUCUACCACAGAAUGUGUAACUUUGAUUUUCACACACAAAAUGGUCUCAACAGUGGUUGAAAUAUACAAAAACAGAAACCCCAAUCCAGCCCUUAGCCUGAUGCUCUGCAUGCUGUUAAGAAGGGGGUGUUGAAUGAUUCCAUUUAUUUGAAAUACCCAGGAGAGGGAGAAGGUUCAUUUGAGAACUUCCCCUGCUGAAGCUUUCCCUGACCCUCUGGGAGGGGCCGGACCCUCCGUCUGUGGUCCCACAACCCCUGAGGAGGAGGAGGCACUCAUCAGGUCCCUUGGCGCCUUGCAGCCCUUUUCUUGGGCCUGCCUUUUACCUCCAUCCUCCACUCCACUGAUGGCUCAGAGCCCAGAAUCCUGUCUUCAUCCUGGCAACAGUCCCUUCAGGGCCCAGCAGGAUGGGGGAAUGAAUAAAUGUGCCUGUUUCUGAACAUAAUCAUUAAAUUCUUUACCUGUAAUGUGGACAUUAAAGGUGAAUCAUUUCCCCCCUUAAACCCCCUCCAUCUUUCAAACCUGCUACCCCCGACCCUCACUGAGCAAAAAAUUGGAAAGCUGCUCUCACGGCAUUAUUGAAAUUGAAAUAGGGAAUAGAACCUGGAUGUCCGGAGCAAUCUUCUGACCUGGAAUUUUCUCCUCGCUUUGCUGCCUCUUGGGAAAAGCCUGUUCCGCACAAGCUGGCAAGGUACUGUGGUCGCAUCAGACCUGCCUUGUAGCCUCAGGGCAUGUGGGUCUUGGGGCAUCUGACAUAGGAGCACCCUGAUUCCGUUU